rnacentral:rRNA from 1 species
CCUACGGGGGGCAGCAGUCGAGAAUUAUUCACAAUGGGGGAAACCCUGAUGGUGCGACGCCGCGUGGGGGAAUGAAGGUCUUCGGAUUGUAAACCCCUGUCAUGUGGGAGCAAAUUAAAAAGAUAGUACCACAAGAGGAAGAGACGGCUAACUCUGUGCCAGCAGCCGCGGUAAUACAGAGGUCUCAAGCGUUGUUCGGAAUCACUGGGCGGAAGGCGUGCGUAGGCUGUUUCGUAAGUCGUGUGUGAAAGGCGCGGGCUCAACCCGCGGACGGCACAUGAUACUGCGAGACUAGAGUAAUGGAGGGGGAACCGGAAUUCUCGGUGUAGCAGGGAAAUGCGUAGAUAUCGAGAGGAACACUCGGGGCGAAGGCGGGUUCCUGGACAUUAACUGACGCUGAGGCACGAAGGCCAGGGGAGCGAAAGGGAUUAGAUACCCGAGUAGUC